GAUGAACGCUAGCGACAGGCUUAACACAUGCAAGUCGAGGGGCAGCACGGUGUAGCAAUACACUGGUGGCGACCGGCGCACGGGUGAGUAACACGUGUGCAACCAACCCCGUACCGGGAGAUAACCCGCGGAAACGUGGACUAACAUCCCAUAACACUCUAGAGCCGCAUGGUUCUGGAUUUAAAACCCCGGUGGUACGGGACGGGCACGCGCGACAUUAGGUAGUUGGCGGGGUAACGGCCCACCAAGCCGACGAUGUCUAGGGGUUCUGAGAGGAAGGUCCCCCACACUGGAACUGAGACACGGUCCAGACUCCUACGGGAGGCAGCAGUGAGGAAUAUUGGUCAAUGGGCGCGAGCCUGAACCAGCCAAGUCGCGUGAGGGAUGAAUGGUCCUACGGAUUGUAAACUUCUUUUAUACGGGAAUAAAGUUUCCUACGUGUAGGAUUUUGUAUGUACCGUAUGAAUAAGCAUCGGCUAACUCCGUG
rnacentral:rRNA from 1 species